rnacentral:misc_RNA from 1 species
UACUGUUUAUGGCAGCCGAAUGCUUCGCAUUGUGGUGAAACUUUGAACUACAGUAAGAAAAGCAGCUGUGAUGUAGGAUUGAAGCAUAAAUUGCUUGGAAAUGCUAGGGUUAUUUGUAGGAAUCGGCCGGGGAGAAGGUUGAAACGGAUUGUGGGAUGUAGUAAUAGUAGUUUAGCAUAUUCGAGGAUUCGAUUGAGUUGUGCUUUGUGGAAAUCUGAUUCGAGUGGGAAUUUGGCGGGUGUGAAGGAUUCUAGGGGAGUAAAGUUGCUUCGCUGUCAGGAGAAUGAUUCACUUGCUUUCAUUGAUGGUAAUGGUAGAAAUGUGGAGUCCAGUGAGAGUGCUGAGGAGGGAUCUGUGAGUGUUAGUGCUAAUGGCAUCGCUGAAAUUAGCAGCGCUAAGGAAUUGGAGGAAGACAAAGGAGAAGAAAAGGAAGGGGAUAAUUUGGAUGAACUAAGGGAGUUGUUGCAGAAGGCACUCAAGGAUCUGGAAGUUGCACAGCUCAACAGCACAAUGUUUGAGGAAAAAGCCCAGAAGAUAUCAGAAGCUGCUAUAGCAUUAAAGGAUGAAGCUGCUAAUGCAUGGGAUGAUGUGAACAAACAACUUGAAAGCAUUGAAGAGAUGGUAGUUGAAGAGAUGA